rnacentral:rRNA from 1 species
GAUGAACGCUGGCGGCGUGCUUAACACAUGCAAGUCGAACGAUGAACCUCACUUGUGGGGGGAUUAGUGGCGAACGGGUGAGUAACACGUGAGUAACCUGCCCUUGACUCUGGGAUAAGCCUGGGAAACCGGGUCUAAUACUGGAUACGACCUUCUGGCGCAUGCCAUGUUGGUGGAAAGCUUUUGUGGUUUUGGAUGGACUCGCGGCCUAUCAGCGUGUUGGUGGGGUAAUGGCCUACCAAGGCGACGACGGGUAGCCGGCCUGAGAGGGUGACCGGCCACACUGGGACUGAGACACGGACCAGACUCCUACGGGAGGCAGCAGUGGGGAAUAUUGCAAAAUGGGCGCAAGCCUGAUGCAGCGACGCCGCGUGAGGGAUGAAGGCCUUCGGGUUGUAAACCUCUUUCAGUAGGGAAGAAGCCGGCUUUUGGGUUGGUGACGGUACCUGCAGAAGAAGCGCCGGCUAACUACGUG